GUGCUUGCUUCUGCAGCACAUAUGUUAAAAUUGGAAUGAUACAGAGAAGAUGAGUGUCGCCCUUUCAUAAGAAUGACAUACAGAUUCAUGAAGCAUUCCAUAUUUUU
rnacentral:snRNA from 1 species